rfam:Tilletia controversa strain DAOM 236426 scaffold_1785, whole genome shotgun sequence.
AAGAGAUUAGUUGAGUGGUUUAACGUCAGUGUUACAUACUGAAUGCACUAGUUCGAUUCUAGUAUCUCUUA